rnacentral:rRNA from 1 species
AGGGAUAUUUGGUUGUAGCUGGCUCAUGAAUUUGGGCAUGUGCACACCUAUCUCUUUCAUCCACACACACCUGUGCACUUGUGAGGCAGAUGGGGAAUUUAUUGAUUGUUUUUUAAGAACAAUUGGUGCUGGACCCUCUGUCUACUCAAUAUAUAAACUCAAUUUAUUUAGAAAUGAAUGUAAUGGAUGUAACGCAUCUAAUACUAAGUUUCAACAACGGAUCUCUUGGCUCUCGCAUCGAUGAAGAACGCAGCGAAAUGCGAUAAGUAAUGUGAAUUGCAGAAUUCAGUGAAUCAUCGAAUCUUUGAACGCACCUUGCGCUCCUUGGUAUUCCUUGGAGCAUGCCUGUUUGAGUAUCAUGAAAUCUUCAAAGUAAAUCUUUUGUUAACUCAAUUGGUUCUACUUUGGUAUUGGAGGUCUUUGCAGCUUCACACCUGCUCCUCUUUGUUCAUUAGCUGGAUCUCAGUGUUAUGCUUGGUUCCACUCAGCGUGAUAAGUUAUCUAUCGCUGAGGACACUGUAACAGGUGGCCAAGGGAAAUGCAGAUGAACCGCUUCUAAUAGUCCAUUGACUUGGACACUAUUUUUAUGAUCUGAUCUCAAAUCAGGUAGGACUACCCGCUGAACUUA